GGAAGGAGUACAUCUGCUCCUCGAGGGAAGGCUUGGAUGUUUGUGGCUGAAUGCCAGCACACAGAAGCAUUCUUUCAAAAGAUAUUUAUUGGACUGAUUGGUGGUGUAGACGAGUAUGGUCUGAAAAGAUUUCCAGAGAGGACAUGGAAUGAGUCCCUGCCUUUGAGAGGUGGGAAGCAUCAAGGGGACCUCCUAGAAAGGCAGCCAGGAGCACAGAGGCUGAGAGGGAGAGCACGGUGUAGACCUCGCCCGGCGCUGAGCUUGUCUCUGCUCAACGCUGGCGCACUGAGCCUGCCAAGGAUCCGGGGCGCUAAUGUCUCCACAGCAAGACUGGAAAAUCUUUGAAGAGACCGCUGGAGCGUACUUUGGGACCACCGCUCAACAAAACCAGAAAAGGACAACAGGAAAGUCAAAAUGGAACUUUGGAGCCGAAGAAGUCAAGGAAGAACUGAGAACCGCCUCCGGUGCUUUCCUUACUGGAUGUGGACUAAUACGUAGUGGCAGAGCCUCUUGCAAAGACAGGGCUGUGAGAGACCAUCGGAUCCAAACAAGCUGUGACCGGUCAAAAGCAAGCAGGAAAUCAGCAGAGAACUUGAGUAACUCACACAGUAAAAGACCAUCAAAGGUAAAAGGCACCAAGACAAUCUGAGGUCUCAAAUCUCAGGACAGAAAACGCAGUUAACCCUUGAACAACAUGAGUUUGAAAUG